AUGCUUGCUUAAGUAGCACAUAUACUAAAACUGGAAAGAUACAGAGAAGAUUAGCACAGCUCCUUCACAAGGAUGAGACACAAAUUCAUGAAGUCCAUGUUAAAAAAAUUU
rnacentral:snRNA from 1 species